AACUGAAACCUUCCUUUCAGUAUCAAGUGUUUGUACAACAGUUGUCUUGUCCGCACAAUUACAUUUAUAACAGCAGCAUCUGGACAGCCGGAGUAUCAUUUUCUGCAAAAGUUACGAUAAAUGAAGAAUUCAACGAACAAUUUAAAAAUAUAAGUAGUGCUGAAUAUAAAAAUUUCACUGACAACUUUAUACAAGAGGUAACAAGCAAUCUGGAUCAGAAAAGCAAAGAAUUGGUUAAUUCUGGGAAAAUGC